rnacentral:rRNA from 1 species
GAUGAACGCUGGCGGCGUGCCUAAUACAUGCAAGUCGAGCGAAUGGAUUAAGAGCUUGCUCUUAUGAAGUUAGCGGCGGACGGGUGAGUAACACGUGGGUAACCUGCCCAUAAGACUGGGAUAACUCCGGGAAACCGGGGCUAAUACCGGAUAACAUUUUGAACCGCAUGGUUCGAAAUUGAAAGGCGGCUUCGGCUGUCACUUAUGGAUGGACCCGCGUCGCAUUAGCUAGUUGGUGAGGUAACGGCUCACCAAGGCAACGAUGCGUAGCCGACCUGGGAGGGGGAUCGGCCACACUGGGACUGGGACACGGCCCAGAGUCCUACGGGAGGCAGCAGUUGGGAAUCUUCCGCAAUGGACGAAAGUCUGACGGAGCAACGCCGCGUGAGUGAUGAAGGCUUUCGGGUCGUAAAACUCUGUUGUUAGGGAAGAACAAGUGCUAGUCGAAUAAGCUGGCACCUUGACGGUACCUAACCAGAAAGCCACGGCUAACUACGUGCCAGCCGCCGCCGUAA